UCGCGAUCGGCCUGGCAGGUCCGGCCCUCGCGGGGCCGGAGAAAGCCGCCGUGUUCGAUUUCCAGUUCGCCAA
rnacentral:tRNA from 1 species